AGGAUGCCAAUGUGUGAUCCCAAUGCUAAUGCAUAUGAUGAGAUUACAUGAGAGAUCUUAGGGCCAAAAUUGGGGUCUUACACAAUGAUUUUAAUCCAACAAAAGUCAAAUCAACCUUAACCAAGGCCCAAACAAAUAGUCAAACAUCACAAGACUAUAAAAAUGGCUCAACAUAAUUUUUACACAAUUAAAUAAAAUCAAUU
rnacentral:lncRNA from 1 species